UUCUCUUCAAAGAGAGAGGAAUUAUAAUUAAAAACAGUUAGGCAUAGUUCGCACGCAUAGCGGCAAAUAAUAAAAUGAAAAAUUAAAUGCACGGUAACAACAAAAUAUAAAAUAUUUCUUAGUGUUAUUGUAAAAACGUCUUUUUGUUAAUGUGAAAAAGAUAAAUAAAAAUAAAGUUAUUGAAAAAAGAAAUAUUGAAAUGCUUUAAUUUCGUAAAGAAAUGUGUGGAAAUAUUAAAAAAAGUUAAAUUUAUUUUUCAAAUAUUAUGAGGCAAAAAAUGUAAAAAUUAUAAAAAUAAAAAAAAAAAAAUGAGUAAUUAUUGUAAAAGUGUGUUGACUGUAUUUGUGCCUGCGUGUGUGUUAUGUGUGUGUAAAUAUUGGUAAAACAGGUUUAGAAGACUUCGUACACAGAACAACGAACGAAGUUAAGCGAGUUAUAGGUUAUCGGUAUGGAGUUCAGCGUAAGAGAGUGGAAGGGUGUGAAUAGUAAGUGUCAGUGAGCGGGCGGGUGAAAAAAGAAUAAGAGGCCGUAAUAAUAACAAAAACAAAAGCAAUAACGAAUAGGUAAUAGAAAAAAAUCAAGUAAUCAAGUUAGUAAGAAUAAAGGUAUUAAUCAAUUCGCCAUCGAAAGCGAUCGAAGACAGCGCUUGCGUUGGAGACACAAAACAAAAGCGAAAUGCAUUUAAAAUUAAAAUUAAUGUCACUUAAUUUCUGUUUUAUUUAUUUAUUAUUUUUUUUUGUUUUUUGUUCGUAAUGUUGUUUUUUGUUGUUUGUCUAAAAUGAAAAGUUGGUCUGUAGGUCAAUAGCUAGAUGAUUCCUUAAUGCAAAGUUGUUAAACCAUAAAAACGUGUGUAAAGAAAAAAUGAAAGUAAAAUU